GUAGGUGGCAAGCGUUGUCCGGAAUUAUUGGGCGUAAAGCGCGCGCAGGCGGUUCUUUAAGUCUGAUGUGAAAGCCCACGGCUCAACCGUGGAGGGUCAUUGGAAACUGGAGAACUUGAGUACAGAAGAGGAAAGCGGAAUUCCACGUGUAGCGGUGAAAUGCGUAGAGAUGUGGAGGAACACCAGUGGCGAGGGCGGCUUUCUGGUCUGUAACUGACGCUGAGGCGCGAAAGCGUGGGGAGCAAACAGGAUUAGAUACCCUGGUAGUCCACGCCGUAAACGAUGAGUGCUAAGUGUUAGGGGGUUUCCGCCCCCCUUAGUGCUGCAGCUAACGCAUUAAGCACUCCGCCUGGGAGUACGGCCGCAAGGCUG
rnacentral:rRNA from 1 species